CAGUCGCCGCGGUAAUACGGAGGGGGCUAGCGUUGUUCGGAAUUACUGGGCGUAAAGCGCACGUAGGCGGCUUGGUAAGUUAGAGGUGAAAGCCUGGAGCUCAACUCCAGAAUUGCCUUUAAGACUGCCGAGCUAGCAGGUGAGAGAGGUAAGUGGAAUUCCGAGUGUAGAGGUGAAAUUCGUAGAUAUUCGGAAGAACACCAGUGGCGAAGGCGGCUUACUGGCUCAUACUGGACGCUGAGGUGCGAAAGCGUGGGGAGCAAACAGGAUUAGAUACCCCAGUAGUCCCUGUCUCUUAUAA
rnacentral:rRNA from 1 species